CGCCCACAUCCCAGGCUCAGGCUGUCCAUCCGGGACUUCUGCGCAGACCCGACAUGGCGAACCAGGUUAUCAAGUGCAAGGCUGCAGUUGCUUCGGAGCCUGGAAAGCCUCUCUCCGUAGAGGAGAUAGCAGUAGCUCCACCAAAGGCUCAUGAAGUACGAAUUAAGAUCAUUGCACUGCUGUCUGCCACACUGAUGCCUAUACCCUGAGUGGAGCUGAUUCUGAGGGAUGGUUUUCCAGUGAUCUUGGGACAUGAAAGUGCUAGAAUUGUGGAAAGUGUUGGCCAAAGAGUGACUAAGCUAAAGGCAGGUGAUACGGUCAUCCCACUUUACAUCCCACAGUGUGGAGAGUACAAAUUCUGUCUAAAUGCUAAAACAAACCUAUGACAGAAGAUCAGUCUGCAUCUGACCAACAAAUGGCUGCUUCAAUAUUGAGGGCUUUUGUGCUUCAGCUUCCACUGCGUCCUCGUGUUCUGAUCCCAGCUGCUGAGGGUGGGGCACAAGCCUCCUGAGCUCCCCUGAGCUUCUUCACCUCCCAGAAGACUCCACUGCUAUCAGUGAGGUCAACGUUGGAAGGAGGAUACUGUGGAAUCUUCAGAAGGAAAACUAUUAUGAAACUAACUCUUUGGGGCACAAUAUUUACUGAUGAAAUGAGUUUUGUAUCAAUGGUAAUAAUCACACUUUAAAUUUGUUUUAUCUUAGGCUUCAACUUGUAUUUAUCUUAGCCAUAUGCAUUGUGUGAAAUGCUUCCCUUCCAUCUUGCUUCAGAAGUACUUUUACCAAUAUUCUGAGGGGGAAGAUGGGGAAGAUGGGUGAGAAGAGGGAUGACUAAGUCUGAGCCUGACAUGCAUUGAAUUAAAUUCUCCUAGUUGGUGUUGUA